rnacentral:lncRNA from 1 species
GGGGUGUGUGCCUGUGUGUGAGAGAGAGGGAGCAAGAGGGAGCGCGAGCGCCGGGCUAGUGCGGGAGCUACUGGGGGAUGCUUGCCGCCUCGGCUCCCCGCCCCGCCAUUCACGCAUCCGCACUCGGCGGCCUGAGCGCGUGGGGCAGCGCCUCGCCCUGACGGCGGCGGCUGGUCCUCCGGCUGCUCCGCGAGCCGCUCGCCGGCCUCCCCCGCCCCGCGCUCCCUCCCGGAGCCCUCCCGCUGCUCCUCCUCCACUGCCUCCUCCCCUCCGCGCGGCGCUGACAGGCAGCCUCCGCGGGGAGAGUGCAGAAAAGAAGAUCCCACUUUUGAAACAAUCGGAACCCAAGGCAUCCUACCAAAGCCAAAGCCCAACGGACGGCUGUGCAUGUGCUGUCCUUUCUUGCAGUUUAUUCUGGGCCUGUGUGGAAUAGAAAGACAAUUCUUUGACUGGUAGGAAAGAAAAGAGAAGACUCCUCAGGGUUUCCAAGGAAGACUGGAGCAGCUGCUUUAAGGUCUGACUUCAGUAUGGUCAACACUGCUGGGCAUCUGAUUUUGAACGCUUAUUGUUCAAGGGCUAUGGGAAGCCUGGUUUGUGAAAUGUUGGUUGGUUCUAAGAUUUAAGCACGGUUACCUAGAAAAAAGCUUGAAAAUUCUAACUCUAAUUGUUCGCUUCUGCCACCUUCAACCUCACCUUAAUCGACGCCAACUGCCAUCCUUCUCUGACUUCACUUGGUAGCUUGUUUUAUCUUUAGUUCUGAAGAGAGCUUGUUAAAAAAAAAAAAAAAUGGGUCAAGGGAAAGUUAAUAUAGGUGGUUUAAAAGACUAGAAGAAAACCACGUUGAGGUUUCUUUAUGCUUGUAGGUAGAUGAGAUGUGGAAGAAAAUCCUGGAAUUAGCCUAGUUUUGAGAAAUUUGGAUAUAAUUAAUUGGGAGAGGGAAUGUGAAAAAUGCUUUGGAGAGGGCAGGAGCUGAGGCUGUGACUUUGACACAGCAGGUUAUAAACUGUGACAGGGGCUCAGCAACGAGUGACAGGUUUAAGGUGUCUCCUAGGGCUGAAUAUCUCUGCAUCAAAAAACUUUUGCAGGCAGUAUUCCUCUUGGGGCUAACAUCACCAUAUCAGCAGCUGCAGCAUUUCUGUAAAAAUAAGUAGGACACUCUUCCUCUCUCUGUGAAAGGGUUAAUGAUAUCUUAAAAUUUCAAAAAAAAAAAAAA